CGGAGUGUGGCGCAGUCUGGUAGCGUAUCUGGUUUGGGACCAGGUGGUCAGAGGUUCGAAUCCUCUCACUCCGACCA
rnacentral:tRNA from 5 species